CCUACGGGAGGCAGCAGUGGGGAAUAUUGGACAAUGGGCGCAAGCCUGAUCCAGCCAUACCGCGUGUGUGAAGAAGGCCUUUUGGUUGUAAAGCACUUUUAAGCGAGGAGGAGGCUCUUGAGGAUAAUACCCUUGAUGAGUGGACGUUACUCGCAGAAUAAGCACCGGCUAACUCUGUGCCAGCAGCCGCGGUAAUACAGAGGGUGCGAGCGUUAAUCGGAAUUACUGGGCGUAAAGCGCGCGUAGGCGGCUUGUUAAAGUCGGAUGUGAAAUCCCCGGGCUCAACCUGGGCACUGCAUUCGAUACUGGCAAGCUAGAGUAUGGGAGAGGAAGGUAGAAUUCCAGGUGUAGCGGUGAAAUGCGUAGAGAUCUGGAGGAAUACCGAUGGCGAAGGCAGCCUUCUGGCCCUAAUACUGACGCUGAGGUGCGAAAGCAUGGGGAGCAAACAGGAUUAGACUACCCGUGGUACGUCCAUGACCGUAAACGAUGUCAACUAGCCGGUUGGGGACCUUGUAGUCUUAGUUGGUCGCGNGCUACGCGAGUAGUUAGACCGCCGUCGGGAGGUACGGUCGGCGAGACGUAAACCGUACGAAGAAGUAGUUAGGACGGCGGAGGAGACGCGACGGACGGACGACCGACGGGAGGGGAGGUUAGG
rnacentral:rRNA from 1 species